rnacentral:lncRNA from 1 species
GAGGGAACUGGGAGGGAACUGGGGGGGACUGGGGGGGACUGGGAUGGACUGGGAUGGACUGCGGGGGACUGGGAGGGGACUGGGACAAACUGGGAUGGACUGGGACGGACUGGGGACACAAACUGGGGACACUGGGACAGACUGGGAUGGACUGGGACAAACUGGGGACAUUUGGGGACAUCGGAGACCGACCCCCGCCAUGGCCUGGCCCUGCUGAUGGAGCCCGAAUGGGGACAUUUGGGGACAUUUUGGGGACAUUUGGGGACAUUUUGGGGACAUUUGGGGACACCGAGGACCCAUCCGUGUCCCCAAACUGGGGAAAAUUUGGGACAUUUGGGGACAUUUGGGGGAUUUGGGGACAUUUUGGGGACAUUUGGGGACAUUUUGGGGACAUUUUGGGAACAUUUCGGGGACUUUUGGGGACAUUUUGGGACAUUUUGGGGACAUCGGGAGCCGUCCCCACCUCGGCCUGGCCCUGCUGGGGGACCCCGAGUGUCCCCAGAAUGGGGGGGGGGGGGGACCCCAAAAUGGGAUUUUGGGGACCCCAAAAUGGGAUUUGGGGAGACUCCCGAAAUUUGGGAACCCCAAAACAUCGACAGGAGGGACCCCAAAAUGGAAUUUGGGGACCCCAAAAUGGGAUUUGGGGACACUCCCAAAAUUUGGGGACCCCAAAUUGGGAUUUGGAGACACCCCCGGAAUUUGGGGAGCCCAAAUUGGAAUUUGGGGACACCCCCGGAAUUUGGGGACCCCAAAAUGGGAUUUGGAACACUCCCGGAAUUUGGGGACCCCCCCCAGGACAUUUGGAACACUCCAUGAUUUUGGGGACCCCAAAAUGGGAUUUGGGGACACCCCCAGAAUUUGGGGAGCCCAAAAUGGGAUUUGGGGACAUUCCCAAAAUUUGGGGACCCCAAAUCGGGAUUUUGGGACCCCCCCCAGGACAUUUGGAACACUCCAGGAUUUUG